rnacentral:lncRNA from 1 species
UUUCCCUGCUUGUGCAUUAUUGAUCACGACCAUAUAUUUCCCCGCUCUUUUUCUAGGUUACUUUUAAGUAUCUCAAGGGACACUGUUCUUCCCUCGAAAACACAGUCUGCUGUUCUACAACGUGAAACAUCUUGGUAAAGAGAGGUUUCUCCGCUCGGGAGCCUAGAUGUCCGCUCCAGCAAGCCUUUUGAGGCUCUCCCACUGAGGGCAGAUCAGGGUUCCUCUGCCUAGAGGGCACAGCUGCUCGGGGCCCAUCCUGCCUCCUCAGGCACGACGGAGAGAAAAUUCUGCAGCCUUCGAGCGUCCGCCCUGCCUCGCCCGUCUAUCCUGCCUCUCCUCAAACCGGUCCCGCCGCCUCUUUCAGCUUCUGAAGCCUUGCCUGUCCCCCCUUGAGCAGCCCGUGGCGCUCGCCUCGUGAUCCGGAGGGCCGGGGCCUGUCAGCGGGUGGCAGGAUGGGGGGAG